rnacentral:lncRNA from 1 species
AGCCAAACUGAGAUGUGUUACUAUUGUGGUAGAAGGUCUGUAGAAUCCCAUUCUUGUAAUUGCCUGACAUUAGAUAAAGAUAACUUAAAAAUAACUUCCCAGGCUUUUUAGGUAUUAAAACAUUUUACAGUGUCUUAAAUCAUUGUCUGUAGGAUUCCAACAGUAAGAAAUGGGUUCUGUCAUUCUGACUGAUGGAGUCAUCAUUACUCUAAGCAAGCUAGAUGACAUUUUACAUUGUAUUUUACUCUCAAAUAUUUAGUUUUAAUUCCAGCAUCUGGAAAUCUACCCUUUUGCCAAACUCUGAGUCCAGUGAAGAGAACUACUAAGAAUUUAAAUAUUAUUACUGUUUUUACCUAAGUAAAAAAACAAUGCAAGAGGAAUGAUGAUCUAUGCUAAUAUUUACCUUGUGGCCCUUUCAAAGGGACACAACUUAUAAGGUAGAUGUCUUUAAUAUGUACAUAUUCCCAUAAAGUAAAAUAUAAUGUUUUAUUUAAUAUGAAGGAAACCAAGAACAAAUAAGUUUAGUGUCAAAAAGUGAUUUACCAGAAGAUUGAAGUAAUAUUAGGCCUUUCACCUGCUCCAUGCU